UACGAAGGGGCUAGCGUUGCUCGGAAUCACUGGGCGUAAAGCGCACGUAGGCGGCUUUUAAGUCAGGGUGAAAUCCGUGGAGCUCAACUCCAGAACUGCCUUGAUACUGAGAGCUGAGUCCGGAGAGGUGAGUGGAACUGCGAGUGUAGAGGUGAAAAUUCGUAGAUAUUCGCAAGAACGACCAGUGGCGAAGGCGGCUCACUGGCCCGUA
rnacentral:rRNA from 1 species